AGUGAAUAGAUACCCUGGUAGUCCUGGCAGUAAACGGUGCGCGUUUGGUGUGGGAGGAUUCGACCCCUUCUGUGCCGGAGCUAAACGCGUUAAACGCGCCGCCUGGGGAGUACGGUCGCAAGAUUAAAACUCAAAGAAAUUGACGGGGGCCCGCACAAGCGGUGGAGUAUGUGGCUUAAUUCGAUGCAACGCGAAGAACCUUACCUAGCCUUGACAUGCAUCUCUAAGUCGGUGAAAGCCGGCGACCAUAGCAAUAUGGAAUUUGCACAGGUGCUGCAUGGCUGUCGUCAGCUCGUGUCGUGAGAUGUUGGGUUUAAGUCCCGCAACGAGCGCAACCCCUGUGAACUGUUGCCACCACACUACGGUGUGAGCACUCUGUUCAGACUGCCCUGUGAAACGGGGAGGAAGGUGGGGAUGACGUCAAGUCAGCAUGGCCCUUACGGCUAGGGCUGCACACGUACUACAAUGCUCAGUACAGAACGAACCGAAACCGCGAGGUGGAGGAAAUCCCGAAAACUGAGCUCAAUUC
rnacentral:rRNA from 1 species